AGAGUUUGAUCGUGGCUCAGAAUCAACGCUGGCGGCGUGCCUAACACAUGCAAGUCGAACGCGAAAGCCCCGCAAGGGGUAAGUAGAGUGGCAAACGGGUGAGUAACACGUGGGUGACCUGCCUUCGAGUGGGGGAUAACGUCCCGAAAGGGACGCUAAUACCGCAUGACAUCCUGCGUUUGGAAACGCGGAGAUCAAAGCCGGGGAUCGCAAGACCUGGCGCUUGAAGAGGGGCCCGCGCCUGAUUAGCUAGUUGGUGGGGUAACGGCCUACCAAGGCAACGAUCAGUAUCCGGCCUGAGAGGGCGGACGGACACACUGGGACUGAGACACGGCCCAGACUCCUACGGGAGGCAGCAGUGGGGAAUUGUUCGCAAUGGGCGCAAGCCUGACGACGCAACGCCGCGUGGAGGACGAAGAUCUUCGGGUCGUAAACUCCUGUCGAGCGGGAAGAACGCUUCCCGGGUGAAUAAUCCGGGGAGGUGACGGUACCGCUAAAGGAAGCCCCGGCUAACUCCGUGCCAGCAGCCGCGGUAAG
rnacentral:rRNA from 1 species